AGGGAUCAUUACAAGUGACCCCGGUUUACCACCGGGAUGUUCAUAACCCUUUGUUGUCCGACUCUGUUGCCUCCGGGGCGACCCUGCCUUCGGGCGGGGGCUCCGGGUGGACACUUCAAACUCUUGCGUAACUUUGCAGUCUGAGUAAACUUAAUUAAUAAAUUAAAACUUUUAACAACGGAUCUCUUGGUUCUGGCAUCGAUGAAGAACGCAGCGAAAUGCGAUAAGUAAUGUGAAUUGCAAAUUCAGUGAAUCAUCGAAUCUUUGAACGCACAUUGCGCCCCCUGGUAUUCCGGGGGGCAUGCCUGUUCGAGCGUCAUUUCACCACUCAAGCCUCGCUUGGUAUUGGGCAACGCGGUCCGCCGCGUGCCUCAAAUCGACCGGCUGGGUCUUCUGUCCCCUAAGCGUUGUGGAAACUAUUCGCUAAAGGGUGCUCGGGAGGCUACGCCGUAAAACAACCCCAUUUCUAAGGUUGACCUCGGAUCAGGUAGGGAUA
rnacentral:rRNA from 1 species